AUUGAACGCUGGCGGCAGGCCUAACACAUGCCAGUCGAGCGGAUGAAGGGAGCUUGCUCCUGGAUUCAGCGGCGGACGGGUGAGUAAUGCCUAUGAAUCUGCCUGGUAGUGGUGGAUAACGUCCGGAAACGGGCGCUAAUACCGCAUACGUCCUGAGGGAGCAAGUGUGGGAUCUUCGGACCUCACGCUAUCAGAUGAGCCUAGGUCGGAUUAUCUAGUUGUUGGGGUAAAGGCCUACCAAGGCGACGAUCCGUAACUGGUCUGAGAGGAUGAUCAGUCACACUGGAAGUGAGACACGGUACAGACUACGACGGGAGGAAGCAGUGGGGAAUAUUGGACAAUGGGCGAAAGCCUGAUACAGCAAUGCCGCGUGUGUGAAGAAGGUCUUCGGAUUGUAAAGCACUUUAAGUUGGGAGGAAGGGCAGUAAGUUAAUACCUUGCUGUUUUGACGUUACCAACAGAAUAAGCACCGGCUAACUUCGUG
rnacentral:rRNA from 1 species